GAAAGAUCAAACCAGUACACUUUCUUCAAUUUACUGAACGUCAUCCAUUUACAAGAGAGGGAAUAUAUGCGGCAAAACUUGUGUAGCCGAAAAAAAAGGGAAAACAAGAAAGGAACAUGGUUCCAAAAUUUACACAAUUAAAAGCCUCAAGAAAGGAAAAAAAAAAAAAUAAAUCCAAUGGAUAUGCUUUUUCACACUGAUGUUUAAAUACUUCAAUCAUAUGACGCAGUUAAGGUCGUGGCUGCACUUGUUGAGUUUCCUGAUGACAAGGUUGAGUCAUCCAGUUUGUCAGAAUCAGAUGACAAAUUAAAUCCAGCCUUUGUUUCAGAUUUGGUUUUAUCAUAGGAAGAUGUCUUUUUCUGGGAUUUGGCUUUAGGGGGGCCUCGUAUUUUGAGGUCCAUGAAAUCAGUAAUUAAACCUGGUUUUGUUAUCU
rnacentral:misc_RNA from 1 species